rfam:Salmo salar isolate Sally breed double haploid chromosome ssa11, whole genome shotgun sequence.
UGCAUGCAUGACUGUAAGUUGCCUUGGAGAAAAGCAUCUGCUAAAUAACAUAUU